rnacentral:rRNA from 1 species
AUUGAACGCUGGCGGCAGGCCUAACACAUGCAAGUCGAACGCGUCGCGCACGGGUGAGUAAUCUGUGGAAAACUGCCUGGUGGAGGGGGAUAAAUUCUGGAAACGGUCUCUAAUCCCGCAUUCUCUAGGAUGUGCCCAGAUGGGAUUAGAUAGGGGGGGGGGUAAGGGCUCCCCUAGGCGACGAUCCAUAGGUGGUCUGAGAGGAUGACCAGCCGAGCUGGAACUGAGACACGGUCCAGACUCCUACGGUAGGCAGCAGUGGGGAAUAUUGCACAAUGGGCGCAAGCCUGAUGCAGCCAUGCCGCGUGUUUGAAGAAGGCCUUCGGGUUGUAAAGUACUUUCAGCGGGGAGGCGUUACCCGCAGAAGAAGCACCGGCUAACUCCGUGCCAGCAGCCGCGGUAAUAC